AGAGUUUGAUCAUGGCUCAGAUUGAACGCUGGCGGCAGGCCUAACACAUGCAAGUCGAACGGUAACAGGAAACAGCUUGCUGUUUCGCUGACGAGUGGCGGACGGGUGAGUAAUGUCUGGGAAACUGCCUGAUGGAGGGGGAUAACUACUGGAAACGGUAGCUAAUACCGCAUAACGUCGCAAGACCAAAGAGGGGGACCUUCUGGCCUCUUGCCAUCGGAUGUGCCCAGAUGGGAUUAGCUAGUAGGUGGGGUAACGGCUCACCUAGGCGACGAUCCCUAGCUGGUCUGAGAGGAUGAACAGUCACACUGGAACUGAGACACGGUCCAGACUCCUACGGGAGGCAGCAGUGGGGAAUAUUGCACAAUGGGCGCAAGCCUGAUGCAGCCAUGCCGCGUGUAUGAAGAAGGCCUUCGGGUUGUAAAGUACUUUCAGCGGGGAGGAAGGGAGUAAAGUUAAUACCUUUGCUCAUUGACGUUACCCGCAGAAGAAGCACCGGCUAACUCCGUGCCAGCAGCCGCGGUAAUACGGAGGGUGCAAGCGUUAAUCGGAAUUACUGGGCGUAAAGCGCACGCAGGCGGUUUGUUAAGUCAGAUGUGAAAUCCCCAGGCUCAACCUGGGAACUGCAUCUGAUACUGGCAAGCUUGAGUCUCGUAGAGGGGGGUAGAAUUCCAGGUGUAGCGGUGAAAUGCGUAGAGAUCUGGAGGAAUACCGGUGGCGAAGGCGGCCCCCUGGACGAAGACUGACGCUCAGGUGCGAAAGCGUGGGGAGCAAACAGGAUUAGAUACCCUGGUAGUCCACGCCGUAAACGAUGUCGACUUGGAGGUUGUGCCCUUGAGGCGUGGCUUCCGGAGCUAACGCGUUAAGUCGACCGCCUGGGGAGUACGGCCGCAAGGUUAAAACUCAAAUGAAUUGACGGGGGCCCGCACAAGCGGUGGAGCAUGUGGUUUAAUUCGAUGCAACGCGAAGAACCUUACCUGGUCUUGACAUCCACGGAAGUUUUCAGAGAUGAGAAUGUGCCUUCGGGAACCGUGAGACAGGUGCUGCAUGGCUGUCGUCAGCUCGUGUUGUGAAAUGUUGGGUUAAGUCCCGCAACGAGCGCAACCCUUAUCCUUUGUUGCCAGCGGUCCGGCCGGGAACUCAAAGGAGACUGCCAGUGAUAAACUGGAGGAAGGUGGGGAUGACGUCAAGUCAUCAUGGCCCUUACGACCAGGGCUACACACGUGCUACAAUGGCGCAUACAAAGAGAAGCGACCUCGCGAGAGCAAGCGGACCUCAUAAAGUGCGUCGUAGUCCGGAUUGGAGUCUGCAACUCGACUCCAUGAAGUCGGAAUCGCUAGUAAUCGUGGAUCAGAAUGCCACGGUGAAUACGUUCCCGGGCCUUGUACACACCGCCCGUCACACCAUGGGAGUGGGUUGCAAAAGAAGUAGGUAGCUUAACCUUCGGGAGGGCGCUUACCACUUUGUGAUUCAUGACUGGGGUGAAGUCGUAACAAGGUAACCGUAGGGGAACCUGCGGUUG
rnacentral:rRNA from 1 species